CUUACCCGACCACUGUAUCUUAUGAUAGUAACACAGCAGCUGAGCAACUAAAGGCGACGGAAGACUUAGUUACAUUGUAUUUGACGCCUGAGGACGAUUUCACACAGUCACCCCCAUGGAGCAGAUACGUAUGUCCACACAAGCCUAAGAAGAGAUCUAGGAAGAGAUCUAUUGAGCCUGUGAAGCCAUACACGACUGGUCUCCCGCCCAAAAGAAGAAGCCCUUCCUUUGUUCCAGACACGCCUUACCCAGACACU